GCCGUCUCAAUACCUUGAGGCGUUGAUGCGGCUACUUGAGAAUUUAUCGAAUGCGUUAGAGGUGUAUGAAAUGUUUAGUGGUGAAGAUCUUGGGGAGGGUGGCCU
rnacentral:ribozyme from 1 species